rnacentral:rRNA from 1 species
GAGGCAGCAGUGAGGAAUUUUGCGCAAUGGGGGCAACCCUGACGCAGCGACGCCGCGUGAGUGAGGAAGGCCUUCGGGUCGUAAAGCUCUGUCAAAGGGAAAGAAGUGCAUGGUGGCUAAUACCUGCCAUGUUUGACGGUACCCUUAAAGGAAGCACCGGCUAACUCCGUGCCAGCAGCCGCGGUAAUACGGAGGGUGCAAGCGUUGUUCGGAAUCACUGGGCGUAAAGGGCGCGUAGGCGGUUUGAUAAGUCAGAUGUGAAAGCCCACAGCUUAACUGUGGAAGUGCAUUUGAAACUGUCAGACUUGAGUAUCAGAGGGGAAAGUGGAAUUCCCGGUGUAGAGGUGAAAUUCGUAGAUAUCGGGAGGAAUACCGGUGGCGAAGGCGACUUUCUGGCUGAAUACUGACGCUGAGGCGCGAAAGCGUGGGGAGCAAACAGGAUUAGAUACCCUGGUAGUCCACGCCGUAAACGAUGUCAACUAGAUGUAGGGGGUGUUGAUCCCCUCUGUGUCGCAGCUAACGCAUAAGUU